CCUACGGGUGGCAGCAGUGAGGAAUAUUGGUCAAUGGGCGGGAGCCUGAACCAGCCAAGCCGCGUGAGGGAAGAAGGUACAGCGUAUUGUAAACCUCUUUUGUCAGGGAACAAAGGCGGGCACUAGUCCCCGGAUGAGGGUACCUGAAGAAAAAGCAUCGGCGAAUUCCGUGCCAGCAGCCGCGGUAAUACCGAGGAUGCGAGCGUUAUCCGGAUUUAUUGGGUUUAAAGGGUGCGCAGGCGGCCUGUUAAGUCAGCGGUAAAAGGUCGGGGCUCAACCCCGGCGAGCCGUUGAAACUGGCGGGCUGGAGUUAGAGAGAAGUACGCGGAAUGCGCGGUGUAGCGGUGAAAUGCUUAGAUAUCGCGCAGAACCCCGAUUGCGAAGGCAGCGUACCGGCUCCACACUGACGCUGAGGCACGAAAGCGUGGGUAUCGAACAGGAUUAGAUACCCGGGUAGUC
rnacentral:rRNA from 1 species